rnacentral:rRNA from 1 species
CACGUAGGGGCCAAGCGUUGUCCGGAUUUAUUGGGCGUAAAGAGCUCGUAGGCGGUUGGGUAAGUCGGGUGUGAAAACUCCGGGCUCAACUCGGAGACGCCACCCGAUACUGCUCUGACUUGAGUCCGGUAGGGGAGUGGGGAAUUCCUGGUGUAGCGGUGAAAUGCGCAGAUAUCAGGAGGAACACCGGUGGCGAAGGCGCCACUCUGGGCCGGAACUGACGCUGAGGAGCGAAAGCGUGGGGAGCAAACGGG